GAUGAACGCUGGCGGCGUGCCUAAUACAUGCAAGUCGAGCGAACAGAUAAGGAGCUUGCUCCUUUGACGUUAGCGGCGGACGGGUGAGUAACACGUGGGUAACCUACCUAUAAGACUGGAAUAACUCCGGUAAACCGGGGCUAAUGCCGGAUAACAUUUAGAACCGCAUGGUUCUAAAGUUAAAGAUGGUUUUGCUAUCACUUAUAGAUGGACCCGCGCCGUAUUAGCUAGUUGGUAAGGUAACGGCUUACCAAGGCAACGAUACGUAGCCGACCUGAGAGGGUGAUCGGCCACACUGGAACUGAGACACGGUCCAGACUCCUACGGGAGGCAGCAGUAGGGAAUCUUCCGCAAAGGGCGAAAGCCUGACGGAGCAACGCCGCGUGAGUGAUGAAGGUCUUCGGAUCGUAAAACGCUGUUAUUAGGGAAGAACAAAUGUGGAAGUAACUGUGCACGUCUUGACGGUACCUAAUCAGAAAGCAACGGCUAACUACGUG
rnacentral:rRNA from 1 species